CAGUCGCCGCGGUAAAACGAAGGGGGCUAGCGUUGUUCGGAUUUACUGGGCGUAAAGCGCACGCAGGCGGACUUUUAAGUCAGGGGUGAAAUCCCGGGGCUCAACCCCGGAACUGCCUUUGAUACUGGAAGUCUUGAGUAUGGUAGAGGUGAGUGGAAUUCCGAGUGUAGAGGCGAAAUUCGUAGAUAUUCGGAGGAACACCAGUGGCGAAGGCGGCUCACUGGACCAUUACUGACGCUGAGGUGCGAAAGCGUGGGGAGCAAACAGGAUUAGAUACCCCCGUAGUCCCUGUCUCUUAUAC
rnacentral:rRNA from 1 species